rnacentral:rRNA from 1 species
GAUGAACGCUGGCGGCGUGCCUAAUACAUGCAAGUCGAACGAAACUUCUUUAUCACCGAGUGCUUGCACUCACCGAUAAAGAGUUGAGUGGCGAACGGGUGAGUAACACGUGGGCAACCUGCACAAAAGAGGGGGAUAACACUUGGAAACAGGUGCUAAUACCGCAUAACCAUAGUUACCGCAUGGUAACUAUGUAAAAGGUGGCUAUACUACCGCUUUUGGAUGGGCCCGCGGCGCAUUAGCUAGUUGGUAGGGUAAAGGCUUACCAAGGCAAUGAUGCGUAGCCGAAUUGAGAGGUUGAUCGGCCACAUUGGGACUGAGACACGGCCCAAACUCCUACGGGAGGCAGCAGUAGGGAAUCUUCCACAAUGGGCGAAAGCCUGAUGGAGCAACGCCGCGUGGGUGAAGAAGGUCUUCGGAUCGUAAAACCCUGUUGUUAGAGAAGAAAGUGCGUGAGAGUAACUGUUCACGUUUCGACGGUAUCUAACCAGAAAGCCACGGCUAACUACGUG